CGCGGGGUGGUCGAACUCGAUUUCGAAGCGCAGCUUGAAGCCGUGGUAGGGCUCCAGCCGGGCCCAUUUGAGGGUGCGGCCCUCGCCCUCGCGC
rnacentral:tRNA from 1 species